UUGUCUGCAGUGGGAAUUUUGGGCAAUGGGGGCAACCCUGAUCCAGCAAGAUAGUAAGAGUGCAAAGUAAAUUAGCAUAAAACUUCUAAAGAGAAAGAAAAAUAAUGAUAUUACUUCUCUAUUAAAUCCUGACAAAUUUCGUGCCAGCAGUCGCGGUUAUACGAAAAGGAUAAGCGUAAUUCAUAAUAUCUAGGUGUAAAGGGUCAGUAGGCAGCUAAUUUUGUACUCUUAAUAGAGUUAGACAGAAUAAAUUAGCUUGAGUGUAUAAAGGGGAAUAGAAAUUAGAGGUGUAGGGAUAGAAUCUUAUUAUAUUUCUAGGAAUACUAAAAAGCGAAGGCAUUUUUCUUUGAAACACUGACGCUAAUAGACUAAAGUGUGGGUAGCGAAGAGGAUUAGAUACCCGUGUAGUCCACCAAC
rnacentral:rRNA from 1 species